CUCGCUCAGGGUCCUUCUGUAGUGGUAUCUUUUCAUCUUUGUUGCUGCUAAUUUCAGCAAGAUCGGCAAAGCUUAUUUUCCUGGUGCAAACAAAAAAAGCAAUGAGAAAAUUGGAAGGUAAUAAGAUUUUCACCGAAGGACUUGAGUGCACUUUUGAGCGGUCCAGGCUUUUCUUCUCUGUCAUCAACUCUACUCUUUGUCUUGCUCAAAGAGUUGUUCUGGUCAUAAUCUCUCUCCUUUUUGUCCCGCGAGCUUGAUUCAUCGAGAGAGUGGAUGGCAUAAGCUGCUGCAGCAAUAGCAGUAGGGUAUUCCGAGCUGCUGAAAUCAUACUCCCAACUCAUUUGUCUGGAUAACUGUUUCUUGAUCCACCCUUGGCUUCUCUUCUUCUCUGCGACAAGUCAAAACUUCCCAUUACCGCAUUUCAAAGAAGGAAAAAAGCCUAAAUCAUCAUAUGAUCUUGCACAUACAUAUAUAUAUAUAUACCUCUGAAGGAUUGUGUUUUUUGAGGUCCCAGAUUUCAACAUCUUUACCUUGUUUGCUUAAUCAAGCUUUCCAUUCCUUGAAGAAGGGCUGCUCCAAAAUCUACGUUGUGAAGUAUUGUGAGGUUGUGCUAUUCCCAUGAGGUUUUGAUGCUUAU